CCCGGCACAUUAUUCGGCACAGCACCGCACAUCUGGGCACCCUUCCAAUCAUUUCUUUUUUUCUUCUUUUUCUGCACACGGUUAGAUUUGACAGCUGAAAUUUUGUUGUUGGUUGUUCGGUUCAACUAGUUUGUUUGUUUCGAAGAAAUUAAUACUGCCGUCGAGAAAAAGAUAUUCAAUGCAACUGGCUUCCUGUUUCCGAACAUCUUCUGUGUGCACAAACGGUUCAGAUUUAUUAGCACUUUAUCAAACUGAAAUAUCAUCGAAUGCCUAUCGAAGAUUCCGAACGAGCUUUCCGAAUUGGUCAAUCUCCUGAUCUACCAUCUGUGUAUCGAUAUAUUAGAGAGACCGCCAAGGGGACCAUUAUUGACGAACAACGAUCGUGCUCCUCCGCAAGCAUGCCACUUCUCUGAGAAAGAUUGAGCCAUGUACGGCUGCGCCAAGUAGGUCUCCGCUGAUGAUGCACCAGAAGAUCGAAGGAGACAGACAGAGGGACAACAGGAAUCCGGUAUAUCCAUCGGAAGAGAUGCUAAAUAAAUAUGGAUCCGUAGUUGUAUGUGGUGUCAGUAAAGGUAAAGGAGCUGAGGAAGCUACGGAGGAGUCGUAUAAAAAGUAGUGUGUCAGUGUUUGCUAAUUUUUGAUUUUUCAUUAUGAUUUAAAUAUAUGAAAACUAAUGAAUUCAA